UUUCCGUAGGUGAACCUGCGGAAGGAUCAUUAAUGAGUUGUCAUGGGGUUCGAUGCUGGCAGCCAAUUUUUGGAUGCAUGUGCUUGCCCUAACAAUCAUCUUCCAAACACCUGUGCACAUUUUUGAGGGAGUCUUGAGUUGGUUGCCGCUCUUGGGUGAUUUUCUCACAUUCCCUUAAAUCAUUAUACACUAUUAACAAUGUUGAACGUGCUCUGUGCCGCAAGGCUAUUAAUAUAAUACAACUUUUAACAACGGAUCUCUUGGCUCUC
rnacentral:misc_RNA from 1 species